GCGAGUUGAGAGGGGUAAGCCCUCGGCAUAUUGCUCAGUAACACGCGGAUAACCUGCCCUUGGGUUUGGAUAACCCCGGGAAACUGGGACUAAUACCGGAUAGAUCAAAGAUACUGGAAUGUUCUUUGUUCGAAAGCUCCGGCGCCCAAGGAUGGGUCUGCGGCCUAUCAGGUAGUAGUGGGUGUAACGUACCUACUAGCCUGCGACGGGUAAGGGUUGUGAGAGCAAGAGCCCUGAGAUGGAUUCUGAGACAUGAAUCCAGGCCCUACGGGGUGCAGCAGGCGCGAAAACUUUACAUGCGGGAAACCGCGAUAAGGGGACCCCGAGUGCCAGCACCUAGUGCUGGCUGUCCAGCUGUUCAAAAAACAGUUGUUAGCAAGGGCCGGGCAAGACCGGUGCCAGCCGCCGUGGUAACACCGGCGGCCCGAGUGGUAGCCGUUAUUAUUGGGUUUUAAGGGUCCGUAGCCGGCCUAUUAAGUCUCUUGGGAAAUCUGGCGACUCAAUCGUCAGGCGUUCAAGAGAUACUGGUAGGCUUGGGACCGGGAGAGGU
rnacentral:rRNA from 1 species